rnacentral:rRNA from 1 species
AACGAACGCUGGCGGCAUGCCUAACACAUGCAAGUCGAACGUGAUCCGGGACUUCGGUUUCGGUGAAAGUGGCGGACGGGUGAGUAAUACAUGGGUAACCUACCCUUGAGUGGGGAAUAACUAGCCGAAAGGUUAGCUAAUACCGCGUACGCUUCUUGGACUUCGGUUCAGGGAGGAAAGCGAUGCCGAGGGUAUCGCGCUCUUGGAUGGGCUCAUGUCCUAUCAGCUUGUUGGUGAGGUAACGGCUCACCAAGGCUUCGACGGGUAGCUGGUCUGAGAGGACGAUCAGCCACACUGGCACUGCGACACGGGCCAGACUCCUACGGGAGGCAGCAGUAAGGAAUAUUGCGCAAUGGGCGAAAGCCUGACGCAGCGACGCCGCGUGGGGGAU